CUUCCCCUCUCUUUCUAUAUAUAUAUGUAUAUAUAUAUACAUAUAUCUGAUUACUGACUUAGUUUUUACUAUUUAAACCUAAGAUUUAAAACCCUUCUGUUCAUAGUCCUUAAACAUGAAACUUAAAAAUUAAGAUUAAGUGUAGAAUUAGCAAUUUAACAGGACAGAUUAAAAUGUGUUUUACUGAAGCCAAAUUAUUUUCAAUGUGAAGAUACUACUACUAUCAUAUAGCAUGCAUUUACAUUGUUUAUUGAUUCCUUGUUAUAACCCAAUUCUUACUUCAAGAGUUAAGAGUGGCAGUUUGGGGAUAGCACCAGGAGAUAUCAGCUGUGAUGGCUUGGAAAAACAGUGUAAACCAGCAGUGUAAACAAGAGCAGGGCAUGUAUGAGUAGUUGAGAACGGUGAAUAGGAGUAUGACUAGACAGAAGAUAGUAGGGAUGACAAGUUUUUUGGGGCACAGUCCAAGUUGGUCUGGUGUCUGGAAUGAGACUGGGGCCUAAUAAAAAGGAGCGUCUAUACAAGAGCUUAAAUGGGCUGUACCCUGUAGCAUUCUGAGGACAGGCCUGAAUUCUGAGAAGGGAAAGUGGUAAAAGUAUUGUCCAGUCCUUUUUAAGUUGGUGGCUGAGCUUGGUGAGGUGUGUCUUUAAAAGACCUUUAGUCCAUUCUACUUUUCUUGAAGACGGAGGACCAUAAGGGAUAUAAAGGUUUCACUGAAUACUAAGAGCCUGAAAAACUGCUUGGCUGAUUUGACUAGUAAAGGCUGGUCUGCUAUCAGACUGUAUAGAGGUGGGAAGGCUAAACUAAGGAAUUAUGUCUGACAGAACGGAAGAAAUGACUGCGGUGGCCUUCUCAGACCCUGUAGGAAAGGCUUGUACCUAUCCAGUGAAAGUGUCUACCUAGACCA
rnacentral:lncRNA from 1 species